GGAGGAGUUGCCGUCAGAUUGCUUGGGAAAUGUGGUGCUUUGAAGACAAUCUACUUCUCAUCUCUCCUUAGCCCCGUAAUUGACUGAAAGGUGGCAUACGUUUUCGGACACGCCAAGAAUCCGUUCAAUCUCGCUUCAGCUUCGAGUUGUUUGGGUGCACGUUGAAACCUACUUAGGUUAGCCUAGCCUAGGCUAGUUUAGCUGUUAGCAAAGAGAACAAACUCCGCGCCUGGGAUCAACACGUCGCCGAGCAAAUAAACAUCAAGUCCCAAAAUGUCAGAUCUAUAUGUCAGCCAAGCCCAUCGUCCUGAACACCAGGUGUCUGCAUGCAUCAAAGAGGAGGAAGAGGAAAAAUCAGCAUACAUCAAGGGAGAGGAGGACUUCGUACCCAUUAAAGGUUUCAGCAAAUAUCUUGGUCCUGAGUGGCAGGAGUCUGAGUCUCCUGGCGUUAAAGAGGAAGUGGAGCACCCACAUAUGAAACUGGAAGAGCCAGAGCACCCUCAACAGCAAAAUAGAGAACUGCAACUUCCACUCAAAAAGGAGGAGGUAGAGCUGCCAUACGUUAAAGAGGAGGACGAUAUCCCCAUGUUGACUGGUGAGCCCUUGAAGAGUGAGGAUGGUCUGAGUGAGGUCAACAGAGGGAUAGAGCCUCCAAGUGGCAGCAGCAACUCAACAGGAUUGCAAGCACACAUUUUCAUCGCACCAUCAGAUAGAAAUGGCACCACGUCACACUCCCCUUUCAAAGAUGGUGGUCAGAAGAAAUCUCACUGUGACGGUAAACUCUGCAAAUGCUCUCAGUGUGGGAAAACCUUUGCUAAUAACUAUACUUGUCGUAUGCAUAUGAGGAGCCACACUGGUGAAAAGCCUUUUAUCUGCUCAGUUUGUGGUCAGAAAUUCACUCAGAAGAGCAACUUAAACGCACACACCAGAACCCACACUGGUGAAAAACCUUUUGUCUGCUCAGUUUGUGGUCAAAAAUUCAUUCAGAAGAGCAACUUAAAUAGACACGUAACAACCCACACCGAAGAAAAAACGUUUUCCUGCUCAGUUUGUGGAAAACAUUUUGCCAAGACACGAGACUUAACAAAACACACAAGAACCCACACUGAUAAAAAACCUUUUGUCUGCACAGUUUGUGGUAAAAAAUUCCCUUGGAGGAGCCACUUAAGCGCACACUCAAGAACACACACUGGCGAAAAACCUUUUUGCUGCUCAGUUUGUGGCCAAAGAUUUAGUCAAAAGAGCACCUUCAACACACACUCGAGAACCCACACUGGUGAAAAACCUUUUUCCUGCUCAGUUUGUGGCCAAAGAUUCAGUCGAAAGGGUGGCUUAAAUGAACACACAAGAACCCACACUGGCGAAAAAGCUUUUUCCUGCUCUGUUUGUGGAAAACGUUUUGUUAAGACGCGAGACUUAACAAAACACACAAGAACCCACACUGGUGAAAAACCUUUUGUCUGCUCAGUUUGUGGUCAAAAAUUCACAUGGAAGAGCCACUUCAGCGCACACUCAAGGACACACACUGGCGAAAAACCUUUUUGCUGCUCAAUUUGUGGCCAAAGAUUCAGUCAAAAGGGUGGCUUAAACGAACACACAAGAACCCAUACUGGCGAAAAACCUUUCGUCUGCUCAUUUUGUGGUCAAAGAUUCAGUCAAAAGAGCACCUUUAACAAACACUCGAGAGCACACUCCGGCGAAAAACCUUUUUGCUGUUCAGUGUGUGGCCAAAGAUUCAGUCGAAAGGCUGGCUUAAACGAACACACAAGAACCCACACUGGCGAAAAAGCUUUUUCCUGCUCAGUGUGUGGUAAAAAAUUCAGUCACAAGAGCAACUUAAACACACACUCAAGAACCCACACUGGCGAAAAGCCUUUUUCCUGCUUAGUUUGUGGUCAAAGAUUCAGUACAAAGAGCGCCUUAAGCACACACGCAAGAACCCACACUGGCGAAAAAGCUUUUUCCUGCUCAGUAUGUGGUAAAAAAUUCAGUCAAAAGAGCCACUUAAGUGCACACUCAAGAAACCACACUGGCGAAAAGCCUUUUUCCUGCUCAGUUUGUGGCCAAAGAUUCAGUACAAAUAGCGCCUUAAGCACACACAGAACAACUCACACUGGCGAAAAAGCUUUUGUCUGCUCAGUUUGUGGUAAAAAAUUCACUUGGAAGAGCAACUUAAACAAACACUCAAGAACCCACACUGGCAAAAAACCAUUUUCCUGCUCCGUUUGUGGUCAAGGUUUCACUGAAAAGCAACACUUAAUAGUACACAUAAGAAACCACACUGGUGAAAAACCUUUUUCCUGCUCAGUUUGUGGCCGAAGAUUCAGUCGAAAGAGCAACUUAAACAUGCACAUAAGAACCCACACUGGCGAAAAAGCUUUUUCCUGCUCAGUUUGUGGUCAAAGAUUCAGUCAAAAAAGCCACUUAAACACACACUCAAGAACCCACACUGGCAAAAAAACCUUUUCCUGCUCAGUUUGUGGUGAAGGAUUCACUUGGAAGGAUCAGAUGAAGAGACACGUGUGUGGCUGUGUGAGAAGCAGUGGCCAAUGACUGCUUUGUCUGUCAUCAAUAAGGGUGUAACGGUACAUGUAUUUGUAUUGAACCGUUUCGGUACUUGGUCCUCGGUUCGGAACGGAGGCGUACCGAACGAGUUUCUAACGUAAUGUAAAGUGCUGUUAAAUUGAGCGCGUUAACGGGCGGUAAUUAUUUUUUGAAUUAAUCACGUUAAAAUGUUUGACGCAUUUAACGCAAGCGCGGAAUGCCCACUCAUGCAUCCCAUAAUCCCACUGUUACGUCCCACAGGCGGCUCGCUAAGGGCGUAACAUAAAACGAGCCACACACACAAGUUACAAAUGGAGACAAAUUUAUUUACACAAGUCGAAUUCGCAAUGAACAAAAUAUACAAAAUGUGGAAGAAGCUGGCUUCAGUGUAAGCCCAGGCCAAAACAACAAACAAAAUGAAACUACACCAAAAACCCACCCGCUAAGUAAACCCUGAUCGUAAAAAGGAAAUAAGACAGCCACUACCCUGGCUUGUACACUAAACAAAAUGGGUUGAACGAAAACGGCAGUUUACCUCUACUGCUGCGGUGCAAUUAUUUACAGUGGUGAACAAAAACGAUGCAAUAACGAAUGAAUACAAAAUACCUCACCAAAAAAGCAAAAGCGUAACAAAAUAGCGAUCAAAUGCACAGGUGAAUGAAUGGCGAGCAAACAGCUGGCGAGGAGGUACGCGGCACGUAUGCUUUCAAAUGCGAAGUUGCGAACUCUCAGAGUGUUGACUGCAAAAAUGACGAGCGAUCAGAUGACUUUUGUUAACGCUGCCUUUAUUUGGUUACCAAGACUCAGGCACAAUACAACACAUACGCGGGGAUGCGAGCUCAAACUACCUUGUAUCGGCUUAGCUGCCGUAAAGCAAUUGCCGUUAUUGCCACAAAUGUAAACAAAGCGCUGCGCAAUGGAUACAUGACGGACAGCGGCUAGUUUUUUAAGUCGGCACCCUUCCUCGGGUGGCCCAUCAGCGGCGGCGACGUCGUCUGCCCGUCCGUCGUCAAUCAGAGUAAGUCACGUUGGGAGGGGAGGCAGCAAGCUGGCGGACACGACGAUCGGCUGACUGACAGUCAAGAAAGAUAACAAUUAAACGGCCAGGGCCGUCGUACCACUCAGAAGUGCAGUGAGCAGCGUGGGUAACGGUUAAAUGCAAACGUGGAAGAAAAUCAGGUUGGCCCUCUGGGUGGGGAAUUCAAAUUAAAAAAGAAUAUAGAUGAAACAAUUUUCAGAAAAUGUAAGUUGGUUUGCCUCAGCGACUGGCUAGAGGAUGAGUAGCGAAGAGGGCCACAUUUAUGUGAACACUACACACACUUUGCACACAUUAUAAAUAAUACUGUUUUUGUUACUGUUCUAAGGCUCUGUUGUGUGUUUGUUUUUGCAAAAAGAAAAUGUCUUGAACAGAAAGAAUGUUAAUGUUAAUGCCAUCUUGUGGAUUUAAUGUUAUAAUCAGGGGUGCACAUAAGUGGUCCGCAUGCGCGCAUGCGUUCCGGAUGUAGACAAACGCGCUGGCCCUCAACGACUUCCCUACGCUUUUGCGUACCUAUGGCUGACCACCGUAUUUGCGGCGGACACGAGAAAAUAACUUCUCAAAAUGUCAAAGAGGCAGGCCACACUGAGUAAUUACUUCCGUGUUCCCCCACCCCCGUCAAAAGACAGACAGACGACAGAGACGUCACCGGAGCUACCGAAAAAAUUGACUUUUGCUGAAAAGUAGGAGGUACCAUGGCUAGAAGCAAAUGAUGCUCGCAUGGAAAUGCGGUACAAAAUGUGCUGUGAGAAUCCCAAUGUCGCCGAUAAGAGCAGCGCAUUUUAUGUUGGGUCAAAGAAUUUCAGCCGUCCAAACUUUGAAAAGCACAAAAAAAACAGAGCAUGUGGCAAUUAAGCAAACUAUCGAUGUCAAACAGGACCCCGCUCGCCCUAUGGACAAGUGGCGGAAUAAAGGUAAUGAACAGCGACAUGCACUGACAAACGUGUUUUUGCUCGCAUUUUACGAAGCUAAACAUGCACGUUCAAUAAGGUCUUAUGAGGAGGACAUCCCACUUUUAACCCUCGUGGCAUGCAGGUACAUAUUAUGUACAUUUUCAUGUUUUUUGUAUUUUCAAUCAAAGAGAGAGCAUUGAAAAGUAAACACUUGGGAGCUGAAAUUUCCCCUGGGUUGUGAAAACAAGUUAAAGUUAAAAAUGGCAUUGUGCGGUGAUUUAUAUGUUAUUGCAUUUGGGAGCCACCCACAUACUUUAUUCAAAACAUGCUAUGUACAUUAUUUGGACGUAUAGACAUCCAUUAUAAUUCAUAAUCUUUGAUAUAAUAUAAAUCUGUCGUAUUUCAAUGCAUUUGCCGGGAUUUUGGUAUCUGUCUCUUCAGUGCCGUGGAGUCUAUUGUAUGUGAAGGAAAAAAAUUUGUUGAGUGCUUACACCACUACACCAGCAGGUCGCACUAAAGCCCAAAUAAUAAUUUUGCAUGUAAACGUGCACCGCACCCUGGAUACGCAUGCACGCACGCGUAGACGCGCAUGCACGCGCGCGACAAUUGUUUUGCAUUGCUUUGCAGAAACCUCUGCAAAGCAAUGCAAAAGAAUUGUCGCGCGCAUACCUUGCUGUUGCAAAAUCAAGUGUCGUGAACUUGCGUGUGUGCGCCUCUUCGUAGCGCGGCCAAAGCACUUGUGGGCGUGUUCACCCGGGCGCUGCUUCAAAGGUAAAGAUCUGAAUGACCGCCAUGGGAAAAGUAGAUGACUGACCACUGUCGGAAAGGCGGAUAAUUCAAAUAAAAACCUGUUCGACUCUCAACUGUUAUUGGUCGGCUGUUUGAAUCUUGAAAUCCGAUUGGAUCUGAUCGUGACCUCUUCGGCCAAAUGUAUAUAGAGGGCCAACUACCCAGCGACCAUUACCUACCAACACUGACUUGUGCAGGAUGGAAAGGAAAUUCUCAGUCGACGAAGCACGGCGUUUGGUUAUGGAGGGAAUAUCCGAACCGGAGGAUUUUUUUUCCUCCGACACCUCGGACCAUUCCGAUGAGGAUUUUGUUCCUGAUUGCCCGGCAGAAGGGGGACAAACAGAAGAGGAUUCUGAUGACGAUGUAGCGGGUGACGAAUCUGACGAUACGGAGGAAGAGGAUAUGGAGGAGGAUAUGGGUGAAAAGAAAGUGCAAGAUGAUUUGCAAGAAGACGUGAGUGGACAAAACAUUUGGCGAUCCAAAAAUAAAAAAAUCAUGUGGUCUAGAUCACACGAAGUGGCCGGUCACUUUGUACCUCCGGCACUAUCCAACAGUGGGCCAACUUCUUACGCCAUUGCCCGGAUCAGUUGCCCCGUCGCCGCAUUCGAUUUAUUUUUGACCGACGAAAUUAUUGACCACAUAGUCGCAAUGACUAAUUUGCAAGGGCAGAGAACGAUUAUGCGCUGGACUACGAUCACCGCACAGCAACUCCGUGCAUACUUAGGGCUUCUAAUUUUAGCUGGGAUGUACAAAUCUAAAGACGAGUCUACGAAGAGCCUGUGGGACAAGGAACUGGGUCGUCCGAUGUUCGCUGCAACUAUGUCCUCCUUCAAGUUUGGCCUGAUCAACAGAGCCCUGCGAUUUGACGACAAGUUGCACCGGCCACAACGUUAUCAUCGGAGCAAGCUAGCACCGAUCCAAGACGUUUGGAGCAAGUGGAACAGCCGCCUGCAAAUGAUGUUUUACCCCGGCAGGGACAUCUGCGUGGAUGAGCAGCUGGUCUCGUUUCGGGGCCGCUGCUCGUUCAAACAAUACCUACCGAGCAAGCCUGCCACGUACGGGCUGAAAGUGUGGGCAGCGUGUGAUGUCGCCACCUCCUACGCGCUGAAUUUGGAGGUUUACACAGGGAAAGCUCCAGGGGCCCGGCGCGAACCAAACGUUGGCAUGGGAGUGGUGCUACGACUAUGCAACAAUCUAGACGGCCACACGGUGACGACGGAUAAUUUUUUCACAUCGUUCCCCCUGGCUGCAGAGCUGAAAAAAAAAAAGGAUCACGUUGGUGGGCACCCUUCGAAAAAAUAAAAGCGAACUUCCACCAGUGCUCCUAAGGUCGUUCACCAGACAGCCACUUUCAAGGUGGGUUUUAUGUUGUAUUAUCAUCUCGACUUUGUGCUGCAUUUUUAUAUAUAAAAAUUGCUAUAUGAAUAAACUUGGAUUUUAUUUUUCAUUCAGCCUAUUUGCCUUCACAAAGGAGUGCACUUUAGUCUCUUACAUCCCCAAGAAAGGCAAAAUUGUGCUACUGAUGAGCACAAAGCAUCGUGAUCCGGAGGUGGUGGAGGGAUCGAAACCAAAACCAAGGAUGAUCCAUGAUUACAACAAAUGCAAGGGAGCAGUGGAUCACCUGGAUCAGGCAUGUGCCACUUAUUCAUGCCGGCGGCGGGCGCAACGAUGGCCCGUGUGCCUUUUCCAGCACAUGAUAGACAUAUCAGCAUUCAAUGCUUUUGUGCUGUACACACAAAUACAGCCAGACUGGAACCGCCAGAAAUUGUAUAGAAGACGACUUUUUUUGCUGGAAGUGGCAAAGGCCCUUGUUUCGCCCGAAAUCUCCAGAAGAGAGCAUCAGAGGCCGGAGAAAAGUGCACAGGUGGCUUCUGCAGGUGAGCUGCCAGUUGCAGUACAGCAGGAUGACGCAAAGAGAAGGCGACAAUGUAGGCUUUGCCCUGCACCACUCAGAGCAUCAAACAAGUGUGCCACGUGUGGGAUUCCCAUAUGCUACAAGCAUAUGAAAAAAACAUGCCUUAACUGUUAAAAAGUUAUUAGUUCUUGUUGCUGUUGUUGCUAUUGUUGCUGUUUAUUGCUGUUAUUGCUGUUAGUUCAUUGUUCUAUUGCAGUUAAUUGUUUUAUUUGCAUACAUUCUGUCAAUUGUUCAUAGUUGUGAGUUUUGGGCCAAAUAUGUUUGUGUGUGUAUAUAUAAAAUACAGUUAGUUCUCUUCAAACAACCAUUUUUUAAUGACUAUUUAUUGUUCUAAGGCGGGGGUAAAUAAAUAACUUAAAAUCUACGUAUGGAUGGAUAGGCCUGUUGCCAUUAGACAUUUUGAAACACUGGAAGUAAAAAAAUAUUCAUAAAUGACUGAGUUAUCACACAUCAAGUUCUCGUCCAAAUAAUGUACACUUGACAUGAAUUGUGUGAGGUUUUUGGGGAAAAUGCUACUGUCAAAAAAAUUGACAUGUAUUGGAAAAAAAUGUUGUUACCACUUUUUGACUAAUUCAAAGCUCUAAUUAGGCCAUAUGAAAUAUUCACCUAGAAAUUUUAUGUAUAUGUAUACAGUUCAGUUAGUUGUCUUUAUAGUCACUUUUAGGACUUGUACUGUCUUAAGGGGCGGGGUGAACAAAUAAAUAAAUUAAAAACUACAUAUGUAUGGAUAGGUCUAAUGGCAUCGAACAUUUUGAAUAGUUGGAAGUCAAAAAAUAUUCAUAAAUGACUGAGUUAUCACACUUCAAGUUCACAUCCAAAUAAUGUACACUGACAUGAAUUGUGCGAGGUUUUUGGGGAAACUGCUAUUGUCAAAAAAAUGGGCAUGUAUGGAAAAAAAAAUUGUCACCACUUGUUGACUAAUUCAAAGCUCUAAUUAGGCCAUAUGAAAUAUUCAGCUAGAAAUCUUAUGUAUAUGUAUGUACAGUUCAGUUAGUUUUCUUUAUAGUCACUUUUAGGACUUGUACUGUCCAAAGGGGUGGGGGGAAUAAAUAAAUAAAUUAAAAACUAUAUAUGUAUGGCUAGGUCUAAUGGCAUCGAACAUUUUGAAUAGUUGGAAGUCAAAAAAUAUUCAUAAAUGACUGAGUUAUCACACUUCAAGUUCACAUCCAAAUAAUGUACAAUGACAUGAAUUGUGCGAGGUUUUUGGGGAAACUGCUAUUGUCAAAAAAAUGGGCAAGUAUGGAAAAAAAAAUUGUCACCACUUUUUGACUAAUUCAAAGCUCUAAUUAGGCCAUAAGAAAUAUUCACCGAGAAAUUUUAUGUAUAUGUGCGUACAGUUCAGUUAGUUUUCUUUAUAGUCACUUUUAGGACUUGUACUGUCCUAAGGGGCGGGGGGAAUAAAUAAAUAAAUAAAAACGAUACAUGUAUGGAUAGGUCUAAUGCCAACGAACAUUUUGAAUGAUUGGAAGUAAAAAAAUAUUCAUAAAUGGCUGAGUUAUCACACUUCAAGUUCACGUCCAAAUAAUGCUCACUGACAUGAAUUGUGUGAGGUUUUUGGGGAAACUGCUAUUGUCAAAAAAAUUGGCAUGUAUUGAAAAAAAAAAUUGUCACCACUUUUUGAAUAAUUCAAAGCCCUAAUUAGGCCAUAUGAAAUAUUCACCUAGAAAUUUUAUGUAUAUGUAUAUACAGUUCAGUUAGUUUUCUUUAUAGUCACGUUUAGGACUUGUACUGUCCUAAGGGAGGGGGGGGAAUAAAUAAAUAAAUUAAAAACUAUAUAUGUAUGGAUCGGUCUAAUGCCACCGAACAUUUUGAAUGAUUGGAAGUCAAAAAAUAUUCAUAAAUGGCUGAGUUAUCACACUUUAAGUUCACGUCCAAAUAAUGUACACUGACAUGCGUUGUGUCGCCAAAAAAAAUGCAUGCCACGAGGGUUAAAAAGGGUUGGAGUUAAUGUGGGAGCCGCAUAAUGCCCUUUAUUUUGAAUUGGUGCUUUUUAUUUCUUUACAUUUCAAAGUAAUGGCAAUUUUGUUGUGCCAGUUGAUGUUAAUCAAGCAUUAAUUGUUAAUAUAAUUAAUUAAAGUUAAUUGGCUCUAAGUGAAGCUUGUCAUAAAUUUAUCGCAUCAGGCGGGUUGGCUCUCAAGCUCAAUGAGGACCAAGUCACAUCUCCAGGUCCUCCUCUGAGAACCUGGGCAAAAAAAUUAUGUGCACCCCUGGUUAUAAUCAACAAAUACAGUACUUAUGUACAGUAUGUUGAAUGUAUAUAUCCGUCUUGUGUCUUAUCUUUCCAUUCCAAAAAUAAUUUACAGAAAAAUAUGGCAUAUUUUAGAGAUGGUUUGAGUUGUGAUUAAUUCUGAUGAAUUAAUUUUUAAGCUGUGAUUAACUCAAUUAAAAAUUUUAAUCGUUUGACAGCCCUAAUAACCCUUACUUUUCGAGGCUAUGGUCAUAAAGUUAAUAUGAGAAACUUGAAACUGUUCAGUGUUGCAACUGUUCAAUUUUGCCCAUCAGAUAUUUUUUAAAAUAAAGUCUUAGCCAAAGUUAUUUAUUUUUAUUUUGUUUUUCAAAAUAUCUACAUUUCAGAAUAUUGUAUUUUCUAUUUUUGAGCAGAAUUCUAGCUUUGUAUAGGCUAAUGUUCCUAUUGUUGAAAGCACAAAAGUGUGUAAUAAAAAACUAGCACAUUUAUAUUUUGUAUUUUGUUUUCUUACUGUACCGAAAAUGAACCGAACUGUGACCUCAAAACCGACGUACGUACCGAACCGAGAUUUUUGUGUACCGUUACACCGCUAGUCAUCAAUGAUUGCUACAUCAGAUUUUGCACGCAGGACGAUUGUAUUCUGUGAAGCUUCCUCAAAUCCUUUUGAAAACUGCUACUUUUGGUGCCUCACGUGUGCUUUGUCCUAUCCUUGUAUGAUAUGCAUCCACACUAUUGCCAGAAGUAUUGUCUCACCUGAUUUAACUCUCGAGUGAAGCAAUAGAGCAACAAGUUCUGUAAUAUUUGACAAUAAUCAUACUAAUAAAUCCUGUCAUACGUUGUUGCCAAAGAAGUCAUCCUUCUGUCGUCUGAGUCUCUCCUUUGCUUUUUCCGGGCGAAUCUAACAUGUGAUCUAAUUGGAGGGCACACACCUGAUCGGUGUACUUCCGCCAGCUUUCUGAUUGGUUGGCUUUGUGGCACAUUUGCAACUUGUGUGCCAAACUGAUUGCGCAGAGAAAAAAAAUCACCGAUUGCAGGGGUCGACAGAUUGAGCGGGAGGGUGGAAUUGUGCGGGUAAAACUAACAUGCAAACACAAUUAUGGAGCACAGAGUAGAUUUUUUUUGCUCAUAUUGUUUCCUGUACUCCUAUUAUUGCUUGCUCAAAAUCUUUAAUUGCUGACUCAGAAUAGUGGCACAAACAUAACGCCACAAAUGGCAAACUGCUACAGGAAGCAUCAGGCUUGCCGUUUUUAUAAAUAAUUUUUGUUUUUAUCUUGCAUAAGAGAAUAAGCAAAAUUGCUUUAGCCUUUUAAGGUGUUUACUGAGUAUACUUACAUUCUAAAUAUAACUCGUAGCAUUAGCUUUACCAUGGGGCGCAUCCUCUUAAACUCUCCAUUGUUAACAUCUCGUGACAUCACGGUGGGUUUAAUUAUUUGAAAAUGAUGUUCUGUUUUCGCUGAGCGUGUAUACAGAAAAGGAAGUCCUGCGUUUGUUGGUUUUGUAGCACUAGACUGAAUUAAUCCUCUCAGGUCAUCGUUGUAAAUUUGAAGCUGUUGAAGUAAUUCAAAAAGAAAAAUGCCUUUCAUGACCUACAGUGCAUCGGGGUUCACUAAAUCCGGACCUCAGUGCCACUUUUCCUGUCGUGUUUUCCACGUCUCCCCUAACACAC